rnacentral:lncRNA from 1 species
GUUCAAUUCUCUUUUAUUGGCUGAAAACAAUUUUAUUACCGCCACUUACAUUCAAUUUGUAUGAAUGCAACUUAGUUGUAUGUACUUUGCAACCAUAACUAUAUUUUCUAGCGUUUGUUGUUGUAGUUUGUGCGAAAUUGAAAAAUAAAAACUAUUUAAGGAUGUUCGCUCAUCUUGUUUUCUAGUUUUUGCCAUAUUUUC